AUGCAUCUGAUCUCUGCACAAGCAAUCAGUCGCACUGUUGGCCGAACCAAAUCAGGUCAGCAGUAUUCUUGCACGCAAACUCAGCACAAAGAUUAUGAGGGCAAUGAAAAGGUUCAAAAGGGCAAUGCGUUAUUGGUGAUGAGCGCCGCCUCGAUCGUCUGCAGAGAACCCCAGGGCCGCCUCGAACACCUGCAAAUCUCAAUCCGAUUAUGCCGAAGCAAAGAAGAAAAUCAGAGAGGGGAAAUGGGAAAGGAAAUCCUAGACGAGAGGAAGUGGGGAAUGGAGGCGAGCUCCCAGCGGCGGCUGGAUUUUUUUAUUUUUUUUUGA
rnacentral:rRNA from 1 species